GGUAGUAGAGAGAGCUCUUUUAGUGAUGAAUUAUCAAGUACAGUUGAGAGAGGACGUAUGUAUGCCACACUUGGUCCAAACUGGCGAGUCCCAGUCUGUAACUCUCCCAGAAGUAGAAGUUAUAUUUAUAGCACCCCAGGGGCAGUUUCCAGCUAUGAAUGCAGUUCUCUGAGCAGUAUAACCAUUGAAG